rnacentral:rRNA from 1 species
AUGCAACCAUACAAGCUUCUAGUGUGGAUGUGCAGUCUAAAUUCGCCUGCGCGGCGUAGUACAAUUUACCAGGUGGUCGAGGCGGCAAACCCAGCCAUUGUUUGCUUCCAAGAGACAAAAAUUGAAACUAUGAUGCCAGACAUUGUAAGGCAAUGCCUUGGCAGUAAACUAGAGAACUUCUUCUACUUGCCGGCUAUGGGGGCCCAUGGAGGCAUCUUGCUCGCUUGGGAUGAAACUUUUGUGAGGCUCUCGAAUCCAUGA